GCCUGGGUGGCUCAAUCGGUUAAGCAGCUGACUUCAGCUCAGGUCGUGAUCUCACAGUCUGUGGGUUCGAGCCCCGCAUCGGGCU
rnacentral:tRNA from 1 species